rnacentral:rRNA from 1 species
AGAGUUUGAUCCUGGCUCAGGAUGAACGCUAGCGACAGGCCUAACACAUGCAAGUCGAGGGGCAGCGGGGAGGUAGCAAUACCUUUGCCGGCGACCGGCGCACGGGUGAGUAACACGUAUGCAAUCCACCUGUAACAGGGGGAUAACCCGGAGAAAUCCGGACUAAUACCCCAUGAUAUGGGCUCUCCGCAUGGAGGGUCCAUUAAAGAGAGCAAUCUUGGUUACAGACGAGCAUGCGCUCCAUUAGCCAGUUGGCGGGGUAACGGCCCACCAAGGCGACGAUGGAUAGGGGUUCUGAGAGGAAGGUCCCCCACAUUGGAACUGAGACACGGUCCAAACUCCUACGGGAGGCAGCAGUGAGGAAUAUUGGUCAAUGGACGAGAGUCUGAACCAGCCAAGUAGCGUGAAGGAUGAAGGUCCUACGGAUUGUAAACUUCUUUUAUAAGGGAAUAAAACCUCCCACGUGUGGGAGCUUGUAUGUACCUUAUGAAUAAGCAUCGGCUAACUCCGUGCCAGCAGCCGCGGUAAUACGGAGGAUGCGAGCGUUAUCCGGAUUUAUUGGGUUUAAAGGGAGCGCAGACGGGUCGUUAAGUCAGCUGUGAAAGUUUGGGGCUCAACCUUAAAAUUGCAGUUGAUACUGGCGUCCUUGAGUGCGGUUGAGGUGUGCGGAAUUCGUGGUGUAGCGGUGAAAUGCUUAGAUAUCACGAAGAACUCCGAUUGCGAAGGCAGCACACUAAGCCGUAACUGACGUUCAUGCUCGAAAGUGUGGGUAUCAAACAGGAUUAGAUACCCUGGUAGUCCACACGGUAAACGAUGGAUACUCGCUGUUGGCGAUAUACUGUCAGCGGCUUAGCGAAAGCGUUAAGUAUCCCACCUGGGGAGUACGCCGGCAACGGUGAAACUCAAAGGAAUUGACGGGGGCCCGCACAAGCGGAGGAACAUGUGGUUUAA